AUUGAACGCUGGCGGCAUGCCUUACACAUGCAAGUCGAACGGCAGCACGGGAGCAAUCCUGGUGGCGAGUGGCGAACGGGUGAGUAAUAUAUCGGAACGUGCCCAGUCGUGGGGAUAACGUAGCGAAAGCUACGCUAAUACCGCAUACGAUCUAUGGAUGAAAGCGGGGGAUCACAAGACCUCGCGCGAUUGGAGCGGCCGAUAUCAGAUUAGGUAGUUGGUGAGGUAAAGGCUCACCAAGCCGACGAUCUGUAGCUGGUCUGAGAGGACGACCAGCCACACUGGGACUGAGACACGGCCCAGACUCCUACGGGAGGCAGCAGUGGGGGAAUUUUUGGGACAAUGGGCGCAAGCCUGAUCCAGCAAUGCCGCGUGCAGGAUGAAGGCC
rnacentral:rRNA from 1 species